GAUGAACGCUGGCGGCGUGCCUAAUACAUGCAAGUCGAGCGAACAGACGAGGAGCUUGCUCCUCUGACGUUAGCGGCGGACGGGUGAGUAACACGUGGAUAACCUACCUAUAAGACUGGGAUAACUUCGGGAAACCGGAGCUAAUACCGGAUAAUAUAUUGAACCGCAUGGUUCAAUAGUGAAAGACGGUUUUGCUGUCACUUAUAGAUGGAUCCGCGCCGCAUUAGCUAGUUGGUAAGGUAACGGCUUACCAAGGCAACGAUGCGUAGCCGACCUGAGAGGGGGAACCGGCAACACUGAACCUAGAACCCGUCCCGACCCCUUAGGGGAGCCGCAGGAGGGAAACUUCCGGAAAGGGCGAAAGCCUGACGGAGCAACGCCGCGUGAGUGAUGAAGGUCUUCGGAUCGUAAAACUCUGUUAUUAGGGAAGAACAAAUGUGUAAGUAACUAUGCACGUCUUGACGGUACCUAAUCAGAAAGCCACGGCUAACUACGUG
rnacentral:rRNA from 1 species